GAGCAGGGUACCUGCAGCACACUACGUCAGAGGGCGACGGACCUGCGAGUGUCGGGUGGGGUCGGGUCUUUUCUGGUGGCUCAUCUGUCACACUGUUUUCUAUUAAAGGAGAGCUGUAUUCGUCACCGCCCUGUCCCCCAUCUGUCCGUCGCCCCGGGCCGCAGGGGGAGAGGUCAGCCUUGUUUCCGGGGUCCCGCCCCUUCAAUCCGCCACCCCACUGCACACGGGGGAGCAACAUCCGGACCUCGUGUCCCCGGCCCCCGCUGGGGACACUUUCUGGCCUGGGCUCAUGGCCAGAGGGGUGUGCCCCAAUGCCCCGGGGCAGACUGGACAGUGACCUCUGCCCUGGAGUGGACUCUGACACUAUCUGGGAGGGGGGGGAUCACCAGAGGAGUCCGAGGGGGCUACUCCAGACCCCCGACCCAGCCGCUGGGGUCGCACACAGAACCCGCGCCUUUCACAGCUUCCUUUAUUGGCCGGUCUGCCCCGGGGGCUGCUCUGCUCCACAGGCCCCGCCUCCUCGGAAGACCUCGGGAACGCCCCGCUUGGCGGCCUCAGCCGGCCCGGUGCCUCCCCCAUCCCCCACUCCGUGAUCGUGGCCACGGAGACCAGGGCCCAGAUCACCCGGUCUGGGGGUUGGGUGUUGACGGGCUGCCCUCUCACUGUCCCCCAACUCACCACAGCAGGGUACCGGCUCCCACUCGGCCCCGUCCGGGCUGGGGCCCCUCACAGUCCCGCCCGUGGCUUAGCGUCCUGCCCGGAACCGCCUCUGCCCGGGGAAGGCUGGGGCGGCCGAGCGGCCGGGGAGGUUUCGCCGGGCACCGGGGGCCUGAGGGCCUCCACGCUCCGCAGCUGCCCCAGCUUGGCGCGGAUGGAGUGGUCCAGGUUGACGGUGCAGCGCAGCAGGCGCUCGGCCUCGGGCACCGUGAAGGGGAAGUCACGGUCCAGGAAGCGCGCGAAGAGUUCGGGGUCGCCGUCCAGGGCCAGGAUGUUCUGGAUGGCCUUGGUCAUGGCCGCCAGCUCCCCGCACGUCUCCCGGAAGACGUCCCACAAGCGGCCGGGCCCGCCGGCGGCCGGGGCCUCCGCCUGCCACCCGCCGAGGGCCGUGCCCUCUGCCUGCCGCCCGCCGGGAGCCGAGCCCUCGGCCUGCCGCCCGUCGGCGGCCGCGGCCUCGGCCUGGCGCCGAUCCUCCAGGCACUGCAGCAGCCAGCUGAGGCGGCACGGCCACUGGUUGGCCAGCACGACCCAGGCGGCGGCCUGGCGUGGCGAGAGGGCGAGGCGGGCGGCGCCGCCACGCUGCUGCAGCAGCAGGAGGCGGAUGGUGAUGGGCACGGUGUUGACGAUGCGCCGCAUGGAGAUGAUGUUGUCGGGCACGAACUCGCACAGGCAGUCGUGCUCGUUGUGCAGGGCGAAGAAGGCCUCCUGGAUGCAGCGGGCCGCCUCGGCGUCCAGCCGGGCCCCGUCGGCCUCCACGCCGCCCACCUCCACCUGCAGCAGCUUGGCGCUCUCGCCCGGGCCCGCCCCCUGGCCCGGCGCCCGGCGCAGCCCCCGAGCAAUCUGCCGGUAGAGCAGGUCGUCACGGCUCUGCACGGCGUCCUGCAGGAAGCGCAGCUUGGUCCGGCGGCCCAUGACGGGCACGGAGAAGGGCAGCGUGACGAUGCGGUUGAGGAAGAGGUAGCCGUUGUCUGCCGCGCCCUUCAUGGUGCCCGAGCUCUCGAGGCAGGUGACCAGGAUGCUGGGGUCGACCACCAGGAUGAAGAUGAAGGGCGCGUGGCAGUCGGACAGCAGCGUGUUGAUGGCGUUGAGGACGCCCACGACGCGCUCGGGGCAGCAGGCGUCCAGGCUGGUGAUCUCCAGCACGACGCGCAGCCUGUGGCGCUGGAAGAUCUCCAUGAAGGCCACGAAGCUGGUGAGCAGCUCCACCUCCUUCUUCACCUCGCACAUGAAGCCCAGGUGGCUGCCGAAACGUUCGCGGCUCAGGAGCCGCUCGAUCUUGUGCUUCUGGCUCACUAG
rnacentral:lncRNA from 1 species